ACGAACGCUGGCGGCAUGCCUCACACAUGCAAGUCGAACGCGACCUUCGGGUCUAGUGGCGCCCGGGUGCGUAACGCGUGGGAACCUGCCCUUAGGUUCGGAAUAACUCCCCGAAAGGGGUGCUAAUACCGGAUAAUGUCUUCGGACCAAAGAUUUAUCGCCUUUGGAUGGGCCCGCGUUGGAUUAGCUAGUUGGUAGGGUAAAAGCCUACCAAGGCGACGAUCCAUAGCUGGUCUGAGAGGAUGAUCAGCCACACUGGGACUGAGACACGGCCCAGACUCCUACGGGAGGCAGCAGUGGGGAAUAUUGGACAAUGGGCGAAAGCCUGAUCCAGCAAUGCCGCGUGAGUGAUGAAGGCCUUAGGGUUGUAAAGCUCUUUUACCCGGGAUGAUAAUGACAGUACCGGGAGAAUAAGCUCCGGCUAACUCCGUG
rnacentral:rRNA from 1 species